AUUAAUAAAAAUAGUAAUAAUAAUAAUAUAUAGAUAUAGACUCAUGUAGGACAAAAUAAGAAUCUAGAGAGUGUAUAUAGCCAUGUUUGAUGACUUCUCUUCUCCGGCGAUAACCCCUUCACAUCAUACAUCAGGCUUCUUCAGUACUAUAAUUUUAGCCUUAUUAGUUAAUUUUUUUAAAGAAAUUUUUUACUUUCCUAUAAUAUCACUGGAUACUCCCUUUUCACUCACAAACAACUUUCUUUCUUUUUUUAUAACUCUCCAGCAGUUACUUGCCUAUAAAUAUCACUGUAUCCUCCCUUUUCACUCACAAACAACUUUCUUCCUCUUUUAUAACUCCAGCAAUAGUUCUUCUUUGAGAAGUUAUUCGCUGGUAGGAACAGUAAAGAAGGAGCUUUUGUCAAAGAGAAGAAAGAAGCAUUUUGAGGUACGGUAUUGGACUUUCAACAAUGGUGGUAGAGUAAGCUUUGAUAUUUGAGUCAAAGGGUGGCCCUAGCCCUUUCUAAAUCCAUUAAUUUUAUAAUCCGAUACACCGAUUUCAUAUUAGUAGAAAGAUAUUCUCUCUAAUAUUCUUAUUUUGUGAUUGAAAUUAUAGUAUAUCCUAUUUAAAAAUUCUGCAGAGUGAUACUAUGUUGAAAGUGGUAACAUGUUGAUGUUGGGAAAUUAUAUAAAUUUCUUAUAUUUAGAUUUGUGAGAAACAAAAUAAA